rnacentral:rRNA from 1 species
CGAACGGGUGCGUAAUACAUCGGAACGUGCCCGAUCGUGGGGGGUAACGGAAGCGAAAGCUUUGCUAAUACCGCAUAAGAUCUACGGAUGAAAGCAGGGGACCGCAAGGCCUUGCGCGAACGGAGCGGCCGAUGGCAGAUUAGGUAGUUGGUGGGAUAAAAGCUUACCAAGCCGACGAUCUGUAGCUGGUCUGAGAGGACGACCAGCCACACUGGGACUGAGACACGGCCCAG